ACAUUUUCAAAUGCCACUCGAUCUAUGUCAUUGUGCCACUCUGUUCUUUUGCUCACUUUGGGUGCUCACAUUUUCUCUCAUGCAUACAUCUAGGGUUUUGACAUUAUUAGGUUCUCAACCAUCUCAUUAUGCAAGUUGUGCUCACAAUCAUGCAAUCAUCACAUUUCAUCAUUACUUUACCCUAAAAUGCAUGCAACAAUAUAUAGAACAUAUGCUCAAAGAAUGACACAUUAGGCAUAGAGAGAAUUUCAAUGAGUUUGAGAAGCACCACCCACCUUGUAGGUCUCUUUAGGUGCUCCGACGAUUUUCUCGGGAUUUUUAGAUCCUUCGUUCUUUACCUGCGGCAAAACGAAGCCAACUUAGGCCAUUUUGCCCAUAUCUUUCUAUAGACUUUUCGUAAUGCUAUUCCGAGCGCACCAACGCGUCGAAAAUACCCCCAAUUAGGUUUCUAGAGGGUCAAUUGCACUUAGAAAUCCCUAUGAGCAAAAGCCCCAAUUUGGGUGCCCUAGCUCCAAUGUAUAUCAAAACCUAGGGUUUGAUCUCAUUGGGAAGCAAAAGUUGCUUCAUUAUACUCUAAAUAGUCCAUUAGAGCCAUUCUUAGGCUUUCCAAAACCCUAGAUUAGAUUUCACCAUGAGAGGUGGUCCAAGCUCACCUCUAUAGCAAAUCUAGGUUUUGAUCUCUAAAGAAGCAAAAAGAAAGCUUCAAACUACUAGAUAUUCCACUAGAAACCAUCUCUAGGUUCAUUCAAACCCAUUUCUAGGGUUUUACUACAUUAGGGUUCAAAGCUUACUUUGUAAUCUUCCUUUUCUUGCACUAGAGAAGAAGGAGAUGGAGCCUCUUUGCUCCAAACGCUUCUUCUUCACCUUCUUUGUCUUAUUCUCCUUUCUUUUCCUUUGCCUUCUUCUUCUCCUUCUUUGUCUUCUAGAGAGAGAAAGAGAGGAGAGAGUGUGAGAGGGUGAGAAUGAGAGAAAUAUCUCUUUUACCCCAAUACUAUACUCAAUGGGUUGCCAAAAUGCAGCUAGACCCCUCAACUUUUACUCUUUCACACAGCCUGGACUGGGCUGAUCGCGCAGGCAGGGACUGGUCUCUCCUUCAGGGACCGGUUCCCGAACGUCGUCCCAGCGCAGCCAGAGCUGCUGCGCGCAGUGCAACCGGUCUCUCUUUGGGGGACCGGUCCCUCGGGGACCGGUCUCUCAGGCAGGGACCGGUUCCCGAGAGCUAAUUUUUCAGGACUUAGCCGAUUUUUCGGCUGUCUCGUUUCAUACGCGUUCGGGGACCGGUCUCUCCCACCAGGGACCGGUCCCCGAGAGCUCAAAAUCUGCAGUUUUGCAGAUUUGAUUCUAUAGCUCUCGAAAACCUCCCGUAACUCACUUUUACUCAUUUUAACACCUUUAGACUUUCCGAAGUGUACCAUCCUCGCACUUUGGUCAAUUUGACUAAAGUUCGACAUUUUUAUUUUCCGAAUUUUCGGUAUAUUACAGUUUGAUUCUAAUAACAAGUUUCUAACGAUCAACAAUCGACUUGAUUCUUUAUUUUUACUCGAGAAAUCAUACGAGAAUCAAGUAGAUGUUUGAUUAAAGGUAGAUCCUCAUAGCUUAUGGGAUUCUAAAGCUUAAUCACCACAAAUCUUCAAUUCUACAAGCUCCGGAAGGAGAUUCGACGUGUGGAGUUCGCGUGUAGCCGACGAUUCGGUGGACGCUUCAAGGAGUUGAGGCGUUGACGCUGCGAGGAGUUGCAGUGAGAUCGAUUGGAGGAUUCUUAUCGAUCGAGGACCGGCGAAGAUCAUCAUCUACGGGAAAUCGGUAAAUUGAGUCGUGUGUUUUGGUCAAAAUCACCUGUACUCAUGUUUUCUUAGUGGAUUUUCUUUGCGUGAUUGGUCCCGUGGGUUUUUCACUCCGAUUUGGAGUUUUCCCACGUUAAAUUCUCGGUGUGCUGUUUUCUUUUCCGCUAUUUCGUUUUAUUCGCAUCGAGAUUUUUGGGUUUGCCGUUUUUACACCUAUUCACCCCCCUCUAGGUGUUACUUACCUUUUAGAUCCUCGGGAUCCAUAUCUCACAAGAUGAUGAACAUUCGUCAAAAACAGUUCCUAAGCUUUAUGAUAAGUUCGUCCCUCCUAAAAACAAUUUGACUAACAAAACUUGUCAUAUUUGUGGUGUUUUAGGACACAUAAAGAAAUUCUGCCAACAAAAGGGAAAGAGCUCAACAACACUCUUGAACCAAAGAACAUCACCCAUGAAGAAUGAUCCUAUAUCAAAAGGAAAGUCAACUUGGACUCCAAAGAAGGUUGAUCAUAAGAAGAAACAAACAUGGACUACAAAUGCGCCGAAAUCAAAGGCAAAAUAAGUAUGGAAACCAAAGAAGGAGGAUAUGAAGAAGAAGUCAAUUCAAAUCGUCGACAAGCCAACAUCAACAAAAGCAAGCAAACUGUCGGAACCCAAAACACGUAAGGUUUGGGUGCGCAAAGGUGAACUCUUCCCAUGCCUAGUCAUUCAUACUUCACUUCAUGCUUACGAUAAUACUUCAUGGUAUCUGGAUAGUGGUUGUUCCCGUCACAUGAUCGGAGAUAAAAAUUGGUUUACUUCUUUGAACAAAAUCUCCGAGAAACUUGUUGUUUUUGGAGACGGUCGGUCGUCAAAAAUCGUUGAAAAAUGAACAGUGACUAUCUCAGAUGGCCCUACUUUGAAUGAUGUUUUUAUGUUGAGGGGCUUAAAUGUAAUAUCGUAAGCAUAAACCAACUGUGCGAUGAUGGGUAUUCUGUGAAUUUUUUCGAUAAAGAAUGCCAUGUGACUCGUGAUGACAAUCUUUUCUUAAAAGGCGUUAGAUCUCUGAAUAACUGUUAUGUAGUUCCUAGUUCUUCGACUGAACAUUGUAACCUAGCGUCAUUAGAGACUGAAACUUUAUGGCAUGAACGACUAGGUCACAUAAAUUUUAAGGAGCUAUCAAAGAUAACAAAGAAGGAGGUUGCUAGAGGUGUACCUAAGAUAGACUUCAAAGAGAAUACUGUGUGCGGGGGUUGCCAAUUGGGGAAACAAACUAGAUCCGCACAUAAGAAUUUGAACCACUUAGGGACAUCUAAACCGUUAGAGUUACUUCACAUGGACUUGAUGGGACCAUCUAGGAUUCAAAGUUUGGGGGAAAAAUGAUAUAUCUUGCUUAUUGUUGAUGAUUUUACUCGUUUUGUAUGGAGUGCCUUCUUACGAGAAAAAGCUGAUACUUUUGAUUCCUUUUCUGAAAUCUGUUUUCGUCUUAUGACUGAACGGAAUGAUAAAAUUGUACGUAUUCGAAGUGAUCAAGGGGGAGAAUUCAUAAAUUCAAAAUUUGUUGAUUUUUGUGUUUCAAAUGGCAUAAAACAUGAAUUCUCGGCUCCUUAUACACCCUAACAAAACGGAGUGGUUGAAUGCAAGAAUCGGGUUGUACAGG
rnacentral:lncRNA from 1 species